CAGCAUGGACAUGAGGGCACCUGUUCAGCUCCUGGUACUCCUGCUGCUCUGGGUCCCAGGUGCCCCGUGUGACCUCCAGAUGACUCAGUCUCCCUCAUCAUUGUCUGUGUCUCUAGGAGACACUGCCACCAUCACUUGCAGGUCCAGCGAGGACAUUGGGUAUGCUUUAGCCUGGCACCAGCAGCAACCAGGGAAAGCUCCAAAAUCUCUGAUAUAUAGUGCAGAUAGUUUAGAAUCUGGAGUUCCACCAAGGUUCAGUGGCAGUGGGCAUGGGACAGAGUUCACUCUCACCAUCAGCAGCCUGCAGCCUGAAGAUGUUGCCACUUAUUACUGUCAAAAAGCUUUCAGUACUCCUUCAACAGUGAUACAAGUCAUAACAAAAACCUCCCAGAGAAGCAAAGUGUGA